rnacentral:misc_RNA from 1 species
UCAAACUUGGUCAUUUAGAGGAAGUAAAAGUCGUAACAAGGUUUCCGUAGGUGAACCUGCGGAAGGAUCAUCAAUGAAAUUUUAUUGAAUUUUUUUUUAUAAAGAAGAUAAACACUUUUUUAUAAAAAGAAAUUCUCUUAUUAUAAACGCCUUUAAUUGUGUGUGAUUUUAAUCAAUUAUCAUUAUUAUUAUUCAAUAAUAAUGAUGAUAGUUUGAUAAAUUUUAUACAAAUUAGAAUUUUAUAAUCUAUAAAAAAACAAACAACUUUUAACGAUGGAUCUCUUGGCUCUCGCAUCGAUGAAGAACGCAGC